GCCAGGCAUGGUGGCACAUGCCUGUAAUCCCAGCUACUUGGGAGGCUGAGGCAGGAGAAUUGCUUGAACCCGGGAGGUGAAGGUUGCAGUGGGCCGAGAUCGCACCACUGCAUUCCAGCCUGGGCAACAGAGCAAGACUCUGCCUCAA
rnacentral:SRP_RNA from 1 species